rnacentral:lncRNA from 1 species
UUUUCAUCCACUAUCAUUGAUCCAAUUUGCAACACCAGAAGUAUUUUCACAUGACCAAAAAUGAAAACGAGAGAAACAACAGAGCCUGCAAAGUAGAGGUAGGGAUUCGUUCCAAACUUCAUUGCUAAUUAUUGACCUUUAUAUCAGGUUCAGAUCACCCUUGAGAUUCUGUAUCAGUACCUCUCCUCUGAGUUUUCACAUCAUCUUUACUUAGGGGAAAGAGAGGGCAGAGGGAGAGGCCGAGAACUCCAAGCAGUCUCUCUGCUGAGCACAGUGGGGAUGCAGGGCUCAGUCACAUGACCCCAAGAUCAUGACCUGAGCCAAAAUCAAGAGUCAGAUGCUUAACUGACUGAGCCACCGUGCGCCCCUGGAUGUGAUAUUUCUUAAGAUAGUUGUGAGUUUAGUUCCUCUGUGGGACUAUUAGUUUC